GAUGAACGCUGGCGGUGUGCCUAAUACAUGCAAGUCGAGCGAACAGACGAGGAGCUUACUCCUCUGACGUUAGCGGCGGACGGGUGAGUAACACGUGGAUAACCUCCUUAUAAGACUGGGAUAACUUCGGGAAACCGGAGCUAAUACCGGAUAACAUGUUGAACCGCAUGGUUCAACAGUGAAAGACGGUCUUGCUGUCACUUAUAGAUGGAUCCGCGUCGCAUUAGCUAGUUGGUAAGGUAACGGCUUACCAAGGCAACGAUGCGUAGCCGACCUGAGAGGGUGAUCGGCCACACUGGAACUGAGACACGGUCCAGACUCCUACGGGAGGCAGCAGUAGGGAAUCUUCCGCAAUGGGCGAAAGCCUGACGGAGCAACGCCGCGUGAGUGAAGAAGGUCUUCGGAUCGUAAAACUCUGUUAUUAGGGAAGAACAAAUGUGUAAGUAACUAUGCACGUCUUGACGGUACCUAAUCAGAAAGCCACGGCUAACUACGUG
rnacentral:rRNA from 1 species